UUAUAAGAGACAGCAGCAGCCGCGGUAAUACGUAGGGUGCAAGCGUUAUUCGGAAUUACUGGGCGUAAAGCGUGCGCAGGCGGUUUGUUAAGACAAAUGUGAAAUCCCCGGGCUCAACCUGGGAACUGCAUUUGUGACUGGCAAGCUAGAGUCUGGCAGAGGGGGGUGGAAUUCCGCGUGUAGCAGUGAAAUGCGUAGAUAUGCGGAGGAACACCGAUGGCGAAGGCAGCCCCCUGGGCCAACACUGACGCUCAUGCACGAAAGCGUGGGGAGCAAACAGGAUUAGAUACCCGUGUAGUCCCUGUCUCUUAUAC
rnacentral:rRNA from 1 species